GCAGGCUUAAUACAUGCAAGUCGAGGGGCAGCACGAAUAGCAAUAUUUGGUGGCGACCGGCAAACGGGUGCGGAACACGUACAGAACCUUCCUUCGAGUGGGGAAUAGCCCGAAGAAAUUCGGAUUAAUACCCCAUAGUAUUAUGAAGUGGCAUCACUUUAUAAUUAAAGAUUUAUUGCUUGAAGAUGGCUGUGCGCCUGAUUAGGUAGUUGGCGGGGUAACGGCCCACCAAGCCUGCGAUCAGUAACUGGUGUGAGAGCACGACCAGUCACACGGGCACUGAGACACGGGCCCGACUCCUACGGGAGGCAGCAGUAAGGAAUAUUGGUCAAUGGACGCAAGUCUGAACCAGCCAUGCCGCGUGGAGGAUGAAGGUCCUCUGGAUUGUAAACUUCUUUUAUUUGGGAAGAAAUUUCCCGAUUCUUCGGGACUUGACGGUACCAGAUGAAUAAGCACCGGCUAACUCCGUGCCAGCAGCCGCGGUAAUACGGAGGGUGCAAGCGUUAUCCGGAUUUACUGGGUUUAAAGGGUGCGCAGGCGGAUAUGU
rnacentral:rRNA from 1 species